GCUUACGGCCAUACCUCUCUGGCUCCGCCUGAUCUCGUCUGAUCUCAGAAGCUAAGCAGAGUAGGGACUGGUUAGUACUUGGAUGGAAGACCGCCUGGGAAUCCCAGGUGCCGUAAGCU
ensembl:rRNA 5S_rRNA 5S ribosomal RNA